AGCUCAGAUCCCAUCCACAGCAAGAGACAAGAUGGCGGUGGGCUCGAAACAGUUUCCUUCGCAAAGGGGUGGGGUUCUGAAGAACACAUAACUACUUUAUUUAGCUUCAACAUGACUAAUUCUAUAUGACUGAAUAUCCUUACAGAAUAAAUACCUGGUACAUGAUUAAAAUAUGUUUAGAUGAGAAAUGCAUAUUUAAAAAUUCAACAACCUCCCCAUUGCUAUUUUUCAGUACUCAAGUGAAAGAUGAAAAUUGAAGGGAGAUUGAAAGAGUAAAGGUGUUUCUGUCAGAGCAGUGUAGGAUUUUCAGAAACAGUUUUUAUUGGUGUUGUGUUUCAGUCUGUGUGAGAAUAAAUCUCCUGAACCCAGCUGUGUGUCCAUGAAGAGUGACCAGUCAAUGGGUCCUCCACUUUCAUUCAGUUUGGAAGAAUCAUCUGCUGAUCUGAGGUGUUGUUUAGUUUACAGUAUGAGAAAUAUUUACCUGAUAUUCAUUCAUUUACUGAUCUAUAUUAAAUACAUUAAUACAUAUGUUUACAAAAAUAUUCAAUAUUUGUUUAACUACAGUCAAAAACAUAGCGGACCAGAAUCACAUACAGCAAAGAAGAACUUAGACUCCAUUUUCAAGGAGCUUGAGCACAAAAUCAUCUCUGAGUUAAAAAGUUUUAAGAGACUACUGAGUCCAGAUUACCCAGAAUGCUCUGAAAGAGACCGUUAUGAUGAUGAGGGUCAUAGCAGAGUCAGAGAGGGGCUUCUGAAGAUCACACUGCUCAUCCUGAGGAAGAUGAACCAGACAGACCUCGCUAACACACUACAGACCAAACUGAUGCCUGUGUAUCAACAAAAACUCAGAUCCAGACUACAGGAUAAAUAUCAGAGAAUCAGUGAAGGACUGUCC
ensembl:lncRNA